rnacentral:lncRNA from 1 species
AGUGUUUUUAUUCUGGAUAUGCAUUUUUAUUAUAUAUAUUUUUGGUAAAUGUAUGUUUUUGGGGAAGGUAGAAUUUUAUGAAAUAUACAGCAAGUAUUAUUUGAAUGCACUGUUUUUUACUGUGCUACAGAUUGAACCCAUUGUCUUCUAUCUGUUAAACAAGUGGUUCUCUGUGGAACUCCACCCAUACUCUUUAGUUUUUAAAACAGGGUCUGUGUGUAGCUUGGGGCUGGCGCUGCCUUCAUGAUCUUACUGCAUCUGCAUCUCAAGUGCUAGGAGGACAGGCAUGCUCCACUACGUCUAGCUUUAGUGACACAGAAUUCAUCCCUGCUAUUCAUCCUAUUGUUAUUAGAUAUCAUUUAUUGGUACAGAAUAAUUUCACAACAGUUGGCUCUGUAUAAGCUGGGAUUGCUACUUACACCGAGCAAACCCCUCUACCUCUGUUUGGAAAUAAGAGUAAUUAAAAAACAAACAAGGGGUUGGGGAUUUAGCUCAGUGGUAGAGCGCUUGCCUAGCAAGCGCAAGGCCCUGGGUUCGGUCCUCAGCUCCAAAAAAAAGAAAA